rnacentral:lncRNA from 1 species
AGCAGAGAGCGCAGCAGCAGCAAUCUCAACCGAACAUGUACAGAAAUCAGAAGCCAACAGACGAUUCUCGUGCCGUUUCGUUCCAAAAAAGAAAAUGGCAGGCAAACAAGCUCAGAACUAACAUUCAUUCUCAUUGCAAAACCGCAUUCAUUUUUGCUGUUCGUAAGUCAAAGUGCCUCUCAGGGCCACGGCACCAAAUGUGACUACGUAUGUAUUUGGAGCAGGAGCAUGUAUCAAAC